UACGUAGGGGGCAAGCGUUGUCCGGAAUCAUUGGGCGUAAAGCGCGCGUAGGCGGCCCGGUAAGUCCGCUGUAAAAGUCAAAGGCUUAACCUUUGAAUGCCGGUGGAUACUGUCGGGCUAGAGUCCGGAAGAGGCGAGUGGAAUUCCUGGUGUAGCGGUGGAAUGCGCAGAUAUCAGGAGGAACACCAACGGCGAAGGCAGCUCGUUGGGACGGUACUGACGCUGAGGAGCGAAAGCGUGGGGAGCGAACAGG
rnacentral:rRNA from 1 species